rnacentral:rRNA from 1 species
CGGGGCUAAAGUAAGUACCGAAGCUGUAGACUUGCGCACAACUUAGAUUAUUUAAGUUUAGAAUAUGAGAAACUAAGUUAUAUGUUUAGUUAUAUUUUUACUGAUUUUUAUAGAGUAAAGAUAGAAAUAAAACUUAGUAAAAUCAGUAAAAAUAUUCUUAGACUAAAGUUAAGUAGUUUAAGUUGUGUGCAAGUGGUAGGAGAGCGUUCUAUUUGCGUCGAAGGUAUACCGGUAAGGAGUGCUGGAGCGAAUAGAAGUGAGCAUGCAGGCAUGAGUAGCGAUAAUUAAUGUGAGAAUCAUUAACGCCGUAAACCCAAGGUUUCCUACGCGAUGCUCGUCAUCGUAGGGUUAGUCGGGUCCUAAGUCGAGUCCGAAAGGGGUAGACGAUGGCAAAUUGGUUAAUAUUCCAAUACCAACAUUAGUGUGCGAUGGAAGGACGCUUAGGGCUAAGGGGGCUAGCGGAUGGAAGUGCUAGUCUAAGGUCGUAGGAGGUUAUACAGGCAAAUCCGUAUAACAAUACUCCGAGAACUGAAAGGCUUUUUGAAGUCUUCGGAUGGAUAGAAGAACCCCUGAUGCCGUCGAGCCAAGAAAAGUUUCUAAGUUUAGCUAAUGUUGCCCGUACCGUAAACCGACACAGGUGGGUGGGAUGAGUAUUCUAAGGCGCGUGGAAGAACUCUCUUUAAGGAACUCUGCAAAAUAGCACCGUAUCUUCGGUAUAAGGUGUGGUUAGCUUUGUAUUAGGAUUUACUCCGAAAGCAAGGAAACUUACAACAAAGAGUCCCUCCCGACUGUUUACCAAAAACACAGCACUCUGCUAACUCGUAAGAGGAUGUAUAGGGUGUGACGCCUGCCCGGUGCUCGAAGGUUAAUUGAUGGGGUUAGCAUUAGCGAAGCUCUUGAUCGAAGCCCGAGUAAACGGCGGCCGUAACUAUAACGGUCCUAAGGUAGCGAAAUUCCUUGUCGGUUAAAUACCGACCUGCAUGAAUGGCGUAACGAGAUGGGAGCUGUCUCAAAGAGGGAUCCAGUGAAAUUGUAGUGGAGGUGAAAAUUCCUCCUACCCGCGGCAAGACGGAGAGACCCCGUGGACCUUUACUACAGCUUGACACUGCUAUUUGGAUAAGAAUGUGCAGGAUAGGUGGGAGGCUUUGAGUAUAUGACGCCAGUUGUAUAUGAGCCAUUGUUGAGAUACCACUCUUUCUUAUUUGGGUAGCUAACCAGCUUGAGUUAUCCUCAAGUGGGACAAUGUCUGGUGGGUAGUUUGACUGGGGCGGUCGCCUCCCAAAUAAUAACGGAGGCUUACAAAGGUUGGCUCAGAACGGUUGGAAAUCGUUCGUAGAGUAUAAAGGUAUAAGCCAGCUUAACUGCAAGACAUACAAGUCAAGCAGAGACGAAAGUCGGUCUUAGUGAUCCGGUGGUUCUGUGUGGAAGGGCCAUCGCUCAAAGGAUAAAAGGUACCCCGGGGAUAACAGGCUGAUCUCCCCCAAGAGCUCACAUCGACGGGGAGGUUUGGCACCUCGAUGUCGGCUCAUCGCAUCCUGGGGCUGGAGCAGGUCCCAAGGGUAUGGCUGUUCGCCAUUUAAAGCGGUACGCGAGCUGGGUUCAGAACGUCGUGAGACAGUUCGGUCCCUAUCUGCCGUGGGCGUAAGAAGAUUGAAGAGAUUUGACCCUAGUACGAGAGGACCGGGUUGAACAAACCACUGGUGUAGCUGUUGUUCUGCCAAGAGCAUCGCAGCGUAGCUAAGUUUGGAAAGGAUAAACGCUGAAAGCAUCUAAGCGUGAAGCCAACUCUAAGAUGAAUCUUCUCUAAGCUCUCUAGAAGACUACUAGUUUGAUAGGCUGGGUGUGUAAUGGAUGAAAGUCCUUUAGCUGACCAGUACUAAUAGAGCGUUUGGCUUAUCUUUAAUAAAGCAU